rnacentral:rRNA from 1 species
CACGUGGGCAACCUGCCCUCAGCUCUGGGAGUAACUCCAAGAAAUUAGGGGCGUAAUACCGGAUAUGACUGCUGACCGCAUGGUCUGGUGGUGGAAAGAUUUAUCGGCUGGGGAUGGGCCCGCGGCCUAUCAGCUUGUUGGUGGGGUAGUGGCCUACCAAGGCGACGACGGGUAGCCGGCCUGAGAGGGUGACCGGCCACACUGGGACUGAGACACGGCCCAGACUCCUACGGGAGGCAGCAGUGGGGAAUUUUGCGCAAUGGGGGAAACCCUGACGCAGCAACGCCGCGUGGAGGAUGA